GGGGUUGUAGCUCAGUGUAGAGUGCUUGCCUAGCACAUGCAAGGCACUGGGUUCAAUCCUCAGCACCACA
rnacentral:tRNA from 1 species